AAAUAACAAAUUUUAUAAUCCUAAAUUUUAAAUUUUAAAAAUUUAAAUGUUAAAUUUGAAUAAUUUAAAUUUUAAAAAUUUGAAUACUAAAUAUUAUAAACUUAAAUUUUAAAUUUUAAAAAUUUAAAUAUCAAAUUUUAAUAAUUUAAAUAUCAAAUUUUAAAAAUUUAAAUACUAAAUUUUAUAAACUAAAAUUUUAAAUUUUAAAAAUUUAAAUAUUAAAUUUUACUAAUUUAAAUUUUAAAUUUUAAUAAUUUAAAUUUUUAAAAUUUAAAUAUCAAAUUUUAUAAAUUUAAAUAUUAAAAAUUUAUAAUUUGGAAAGUGAAAUAUUAAAAAUUUAAAUAUUAAAUUUUAAUAAUUUAAAUAUCAAAUUUUAAAAAUUUAAAUACUAAAUUUUAUAAACUAAAACUUUAAAUUUUAAAAAUUUAAAUAUCAAAUUUUAAUAAUUUAAAUAUCUAAUUUUAAAAAUUUAAAUACCAAAUUUUAUAAACUUAAAUUUAAAUUUUAAAAAUUUAAAUAUUAAAUUUUAAAAAUUUAAAUACUAAAUUUUAUAAAUUAAAUUUUAAAUUUUAAAAAUUUAAAUAUUAAAUUUUAAUAAUUAAAUAUCAAAUUUUAAAAAUUUAAUUACCAAAUUUUAAAAAUUUGUCAUGGUCAUAGUCUACACGGACCAAGGAGUCUAGCAUGUGCGCGAGUCAUUGGGACAUGAUACUAAACCUAAAGGCGCAAUGAAAGUAAAGGUUAACCUAGCGUUGACCGAGGGAAGAUGGGUGGUUCGCCCUCAAAGUGGCCACCCCGCAUUCCCGGGGCGUCUCGUUCUCAUUGCGAGAAGAGGCGCACCAAGAGCGUACACGCUGGGACCCGAAAGAUGGUGAACUAUGCCUGGUCAGGACGAAGUCAGGGGAAACCCUGAUGGAGGUCCGUAGCGAUUCUGACGUGCAAAUCGAUCGUCGGAACUGGGUAUAGGGGCGAAAGACUAAUCGAACCAUCUAGUAGCUGGUUCCCUCCGAAGUUUCCCUCAGGAUAGCUGGCGCUCGUAUUAACGAGUUUCAUCCGGUAAAGCGAAUGAUUAGAGGCAUUGGGGUCGAAACGACCUCAACCUAUUCUCAAACUUUAAAUGGGUGAGAUCUCUGGCUUGCUCGAACUUGAAGCCGCGAGAAUUUUUAAUUCGAAUCAGAGUGCCAAGUGGGCCAUUUUUGGUAAGCAGAACUGGCGCUGUGGGAUGAACCAAACGCCGAGUUAAAGCGCCUAAAUCGACGCUUAUGGGAUACCAUGAAAGGCGUUGGUAACUUAAGACAGCAGGACGGUGGCCAUGGAAGUCGGAAUCCGCCAAGGAGUGUGUAACAACUCACCUGCCGAAGUUACUAGCCCUGAAAAUGGAUGGCGCUGAAGCGUCGUGCUUAUACUCGGCCGUCAGAGGCAUGUGCGGUCUCGGAUUCAAUUCCGGCCAUGAAGCCCUGACGAGUAGGAGGGUCGCGGCGGUGUGCGCAGAAGGGCUGGCCGUGAGGCCGUCUGGAGCCGCCGUCGGUGCAGAUCUUGGUGGUAGUAGCAAAUACUCCAGCGAGGCCCUGGAGGACUGACGUGGAGAAGGGUUUCGUGUGAACAGCUGUUGCACACGAGUCAGUCGAUCCUAAGCCCUAGGCGAAAGCCGAUGUCGAUGUGGUGUACUGUUUAUAGAGCAGUUGGCAUGUGAAUAAUUCUAGUUCAAGCACACACCCAUCGGGCGAAAGGGAAUCCGGUUCCUAUUCCGGAACCCGGCAGCGGAACCGUCAAUAAGUCGGGCCCUCGCAAGAGAGUUCGUCGGGGUAACCCAAAAGGACCCGGAGACGCCGUCGGGAGAUCCGGGAAGAGUUUUCUUUUCUGCAUGAGCGUUCGAGUUCCAUGGAAUCCUCUAGCAGGGAGAUAUGGUUUGGAACGCGAAGAGCAUCGCAGUUGCAGCGAUGUCCGGAUCUUCCCCUCGGACCUUGAAAAUCCGGGAGAGGGCCACGUGGAGGCGUCGCGCCGGUUCGUACCCAUAUCCGCAGCAGGUCUCCAAGGUGAAGAGCCUCUAGUCGAUAGAAUAAUGUAGGUAAGGGAAGUCGGCAAAUUGGAUCCGUAACUUCGGGAUAAGGAUUGGCUCUGAGGAUCGGGGCGUGUCGGGCUUGGCGAGGAAGCGGGUCAGGGCUGACGUGCCGGGCCUGGGCGAGGUGAUUUCUGCGAUCGUUUCGUGCGUUCGUUUGUAUUGAUCCGAGCUCGGUCCCGUGCCUUGGCCUCCCGCGGAACCGUCUAGCUGCGAGGCCCGGGGUGCGCUCGCAAGGGCGUCCCGGUGUCCUCUUCGGCCGCCAUUCAACGGUCAGCUCAGAACUGGCACGGACCGGGGGAAUCCGACUGUCUAAUUAAAACAAAGCAUUGCGAUGGCCUCAGCGGGUGUUGACGCAAUGUGAUUUCUGCCCAGUGCUCUGAAUGUCAACGUGAAGAAAUUCAAGCAAGCGCGGGUAAACGGCGGGAGUAACUAUGACUCUCU